rnacentral:tRNA from 1 species
GGCAGUAUAGCUCAGUGGUAGAGCAAUUGCCUAGCAUGCAUGAAGCCCUGGGAUUGAAUCCUAGAACUACAG